rnacentral:rRNA from 1 species
CCUACGGGCGGCUGCAGUGGGGAAUAUUGGACAAUGGGCGCAAGCCUGAUCCAGCCAUACCGCGUGAGUGAAGAAGGCCUUCGGGUUGUAAAGCUCUUUUGUUGGGAAAGAAAUCCUGUCGGUUAAUACCCGGUAGGGAUGACGGUACCCAAAGAAUAAGCACCGGCUAACUUCGUGCCAGCAGCCGCGGUAAUACGAAGGGUGCAAGCGUUACUCGGAGUUACUGGGGGUGGAGCGUGCAUAGGUGGUUGAAAGCCCCGGGCUCAACCUGGGAAUUGCAUUGGAUACUGGCAGGCUAGAGUGCGGUAGAGGGUAGUGGAAUUCCCGGUGUAGCAGUGAAAUGCGUAGAGAUCGGGAGGAACAUCUGUGGCGAAGGCGACUGCCUGGACCAGCACUGACACUGAGGCACGAAAGCGUGGGGAGCAAACAGGAUUAGAUACCCCGGUAGUC